UACGGAAGGCAGCAGUGGGGAAUAUUGCACAAUGGGCGCAAGCCUGAUGCAGCCAUGCCGCGUGUAUGAAGAAGGCCUUCGGGUUGUAAAGUACUUUCAGUCGUGAGGAAGGUGUUAAGGUUAAUAACCUUAGCAAUUGACGUUAGCGACAGAAGAAGCACCGGCUAACUCCGUGCCAGCAGCCGCGGUAAUACGGAGGGUGCGAGCGUUAAUCGGAAUUACUGGGCGUAAAGGGCACGCAGGCGGUUAAUUAAGUUGGAUGUGAAAUCCCCGGGCUUAACCUGGGAAUGGCAUUCAAGACUGGUUAGUUAGAGUCUUGUAGAGGGGGUAGAAUUCCAUGUGUAGCGGUGAAAUGCGUAGAGAUGUGGAGGAAUACCGGUGGCGAAGGCGGCCCCUGGACAAAGACUGACGCUCAUGUGCGAAAGCGUGGGGAGCAAACAGGGAUUAGAUACC
rnacentral:rRNA from 1 species